rnacentral:rRNA from 1 species
AUCGUACCCCAAACCGACACAGGUGGUCAGGUAGAGAAUACCAAGGCGCUUGAGAGAACUCGGGUGAAGGAACUAGGCAAAAUGGUGCCGUAACUUCGGGAGAAGGCACGCUGAUACGUAGGUGAAGCGACUUGCUCGUGGAGCUGAAAUCAGUCGAAGAUACCAGCUGGCUGCAACUGUUUAUUAAAAACACAGCACUGUGCAAACACGAAAGUGGACGUAUACGGUGUGACGCCUGCCCGGU